UACGAAGGGGGCUAGCGUUGCUCGGAAUUACUGGGCGUAAAGGGCGCGUAGGCGGAUGUUUAAGUCGGGGGUGAAAGCCCGGGGCUCAACCUCGGAAUUGCCUUCGAUACUGGACAUCUUGAGUACGGGAGAGGUGAGUGGAACUCCGAGUGUAGAGGUGAAAUUCGUAGAUAUUCGGAAGAACACCAGUGGCGAAGGCGACUCACUGGCCCGUUACUGACGCUGAGGCGCGAAAGCGUGGGGAGCAAACAGGGAUAGAAACCCUGGGUA
rnacentral:rRNA from 1 species